UACGGAGGAUGCGAGCGUUAUCCGGAUUUAUUGGGUUUAAAGGGUGCGUAGGCGGGAUGCCAAGUCAGCGGUAAAAAUGCGGUGCUCAACGCCGUCGAGCCGUUGAAACUGGCGUUCUUGAGUGGGCGAGAAGUAUGCGGAAUGCGUGGUGUAGCGGUGAAAUGCAUAGAUAUCACGCAGAACUCCGAUUGCGAAGGCAGCAUACCGGCGCCCUACUGACGCUGAGGCUCGAAAGUGUGGGGAGCAAACAGG
rnacentral:rRNA from 1 species